CCUUCCCAAAACUGGUGAAUAGCCCUCCGAAAGGAGGAUUAAUACACCGUAACAUAAUGAAGUGGCAUCACUUUAUUAUUAUAACUCCGGUGGUUUUGGAUGGGCGUGCGGCUGAUUAGGUAGUUGGCGGGGUAACGGCCCACCAAGCCUGCGAUCAGUAACUGGUGUGAGAGCACGACCAGUCACACUGGCACUGAGACACG
rnacentral:rRNA from 1 species